rnacentral:rRNA from 1 species
CAGUCGCCACGGUAAUGCGUAGGGUGCAAGCGUUAAUCGGAAUUACUGGGCGUAAAGCGUGCGCAGGCGGUUAUAUAAGUCAGAUGUGAAAUCCCCGGGCUCAACCUGGGAACUGCAUUUGAGACUGUAUGGCUAGAGUGUGUCAGAGGGGGGUAGAAUUCCACGUGUAGCAGUGAAAUGCGUAGAUAUGUGGAGGAAUACCGAUGGCGAAGGCAGCCCCCUGGGAUAACACUGGCGCUCAUGCACGAAAGCGUGGGGAGCAAACAGGAUUAGAUACCCCGGUAGUCCCUGUCUCUUAUAC